rnacentral:rRNA from 1 species
AACGUAGGAGACAAACGUUAUCCGGAGUUACUGGGCGUAAAGGGCGUGUAGGUGGUUUCGUAAGUCUGGCGUGAAAUAUCUCGGCUUAACCGAGGCAGGUCGUCGGAUACUGCGGGACUAGAGGACGGUAGAGGCGUGUGGAAUUCCGGGUGUAGUGGUGAAAUGCGUAGAGAUCCGGAAGAACACCGGUGGCGAAGGCGGCCUGCUGGGCAGUGGCUGACACUGAGGCGCGACAGCGUGGGGAGCAAACAGG